rnacentral:tRNA from 1 species
CGCGGGAUGGAGCAGCCCGGUAGCUCGUCAGGAAGCUCAUAACCCUGAAAAGGUCGUCCAGGUUCAAAUCCUACUCCCGCAA